GUCAAAUAAAAGUAUAGCAAAUACAAGGCCAGGCACGGUGGCUCACGCCUGUAAUCCCAACACUUUGGGAGGCCGAAGUGGGCGGAUCACUUGAGGUCAGGAGUUCAAGACCAGCCUGGCCAACAUGACAGGCCCUCCAGGAGGUAUUCCAGAAGAAGGCAUUGUUAACAUAGAUGACAACUCCGUGUGUUAUUGCUCCUGAAGACCUUCCAGUGGGACAAGAUGUGGAGGUGAAAGACAGUCACAAUCCCAACUCUGUGUAGGCCAAGGUCGCCAGCACGCUGGACGGUAUGUUUCAUCGGGAGAACUCGACCAUUCGGUGGCGGCGGCUGUUACUGGCGGCAGCGGGCCUGUCUGCUUGUGGGGAUCAGCUUCUGAAGCUCCUUCUUAAUUUCCUCCUGGGUAAUGUGCGACUCCACAGCCAUCUUUC